UACGGAGGGUGCGAGCGUUAUCCGGAAUUACUGGGUUUAAAGGGUGCGUAGGCGGCUGUGUAAGUCAGGAGUGAAAGUUUGCGGCUCAACCGUAAAAUUGCUUUUGAUACUGCAUGGCUAGAAUUAGGAUGAGGUCAGCGGAAUGUGGCAUGUAGCGGUGAAAUGCAUAGAUAUGCCAUAGAACACCUAUUGCGAAGGCAGCUGGCUAGACCUAUAUUGACGCUGAGGCACGAAAGCGUGGGGAGCGAACAGG
rnacentral:rRNA from 1 species